rnacentral:rRNA from 2 species
GGGUUGUGAGGUUAAGCGACUAAGCGUACACGGUGGAUGCCCUGGCAGUCAGAGGCGAUGAAGGACGUGCUAAUCUGCGAAAAGCGCCGGCGAGGUGAUAUGAACCUUUGACCCGGCGAUGUCCGAAUGGGGAAACCCAGUGCAAUUCGUUGCACUAUCGUUAACUGAAUACAUAGGUUAACGAGGCGAACCGGGGGAACUGAAACAUCUAAGUACCCCGAGGAAAAGAAAUCAACCGAGAUUCCCCCAGUAGCGGCGAGCGAACGGGGAGCAGCCCGGAGUCUGAAUCAGCUUGUGUGUUAGUGGAACGGUCUGGAAAGUCCGACGGUACAGGGUGAUAGUCCCGUACACGAAAGCACACAUGCUGUGAACUCGAAGAGUAGGGCGGGACACGUGGUAUCCUGUCUGAAUAUGGGGGGACCAUCCUCCAAGGCUAAAUACUCCUGACUGACCGAUAGUGAACCAGUACCGUGAGGGAAAGGCGAAAAGAACCCCGGCGAGGGGAGUGAAAAAGAACCUGAAACCGUGUACGUACAAGCAGUGGGAGCCUCUUUAUGGGGUGACUGCGUACCUUUUGUAUAAUGGGUCAGCGACUUAUAUUCUGUAGCAAGGUUAACCGUAUAGGGGAGCCGAAGGGAAACCGAGUCUUAACUGGGCGUUAAGUUGCAGGGUAUAGACCCGAAACCCGGUGAUCUAGCCAUGGGCAGGUUGAAGGUUGGGUAACACUAACUGGAGGACCGAACCGACUAAUGUUGAAAAAUUAGCGGAUGACCUGUGGCUGGGGGUGAAAGGCCAAUCAAACCGGGAGAUAGCUGGUUCUCCCCGAAAGCUAUUUAGGUAGCGCCUCGUGAACUCAUCUUCGGGGGUAGAGCACUGUUUCGGCUAGGGGGCCAUCCCGGCUUACCAACCCGAUGCAAACUACGAAUACCGAAGAAUGUUAUCACGGGAGACACACGGCGGGUGCUAACGUCCGUCGUGAAGAGGGAAACAACCCAGACCGCCAGCUAAGGUCCCAAAGUCAUGGUUAAGUGGGAAACGAUGUGGGAAGGCACAGACAGCCAGGAUGUUGGCUUAGAAGCAGCCAUCAUUUAAAGAAAGCGUAAUAGCUCACUGGUCGAGUCGGCCUGCGCGGAAGAUGUAACGGGGCUAAACCAUGCACCGAAGCUGCGGCAGCGACACUAUGUGUUGUUGGGUAGGGGAGCGUUCUGUAAGCCGUUGAAGGUGUGCUGUGAGGCAUGCUGGAGGUAUCAGAAGUGCGAAUGCUGACAUAAGUAACGAUAAAGCGGGUGAAAAGCCCGCUCGCCGGAAGACCAAGGGUUCCUGUCCAACGUUAAUCGGGGCAGGGUGAGUCGACCCCUAAGGCGAGGCCGAAAGGCGUAGUCGAUGGGAAACAGGUUAAUAUUCCUGUACUUGGUGUUACUGCGAAGGGGGGACGGAGAAGGCUAUGUCAGCCGGGCGACGGUUGUCCCGGUUUAAGCAUGUAGGCGGAGGUUCCAGGUAAAUCCGGUACCUUGUUAACGCUGAGGUGUGAUGACGAGGCACUACGGUGCUGAAGUGAUAAAUGCCCUGCUUCCAGGAAAAGCCUCUAAGCAUCAGGUAACACGAAAUCGUACCCCAAACCGACACAGGUGGUCAGGUAGAGAAUACCAAGGCGCUUGAGAGAACUCGGGUGAAGGAACUAGGCAAAAUGGUGCCGUAACUUCGGGAGAAGGCACGCUGAUAUGUAGGUGAAGCCCCUGCGGGCGGAGCUGAAAUCAGUCGAAGAUACCAGCUGGCUGCAACUGUUUAUUAAAAACACAGCACUGUGCAAACACGAAAGUGGACGUAUACGGUGUGACGCCUGCCCGGUGCCGGAAGGUUAAUUGAUGGGGUUAGCGGCAACGCGAAGCUCUUGAUCGAAGCCCCGGUAAACGGCGGCCGUAACUAUAACGGUCCUAAGGUAGCGAAAUUCCUUGUCGGGUAAGUUCCGACCUGCACGAAUGGCGUAAUGAUGGCCAGGCUGUCUCCACCCGAGACUCAGUGAAAUUGAACUCGCUGUGAAGAUGCAGUGUACCCGCGGCAAGACGGAAAGACCCCGUGAACCUUUACUAUAGCUUGACACUGAACACUGGUCCUUGAUGUGUAGGAUAGGUGGGAGGCUUUGAAGCGUGGACGCCAGUCUGCGUGGAGCCAACCUUGAAAUACCACCCUUUAAUGGCUGGUGUUCUAACGUAGACCCGUAAUCCGGGUUGCGGACAGUGUCUGGUGGGUAGUUUGACUGGGGCGGUCUCCUCCCAAAGAGUAACGGAGGAGCACGAAGGUUGGCUAAUCCUGGUCGGACAUCAGGAGGUUAGUGCAAUGGCAUAAGCCAGCUUGACUGCGAGCGUGACGGCGCGAGCAGGUGCGAAAGCAGGUCAUAGUGAUCCGGUGGUUCUGAAUGGAAGGGCCAUCGCUCAACGGAUAAAAGGUACUCCGGGGAUAACAGGCUGAUACCGCCCAAGAGUUCAUAUCGACGGCGGUGUUUGGCACCUCGAUGUCGGCUCAUCACAUCCUGGGGCUGAAGUAGGUCCCAAGGGUAUGGCUGUUCGCCAUUUAAAGUGGUACGCGAGCUGGGUUUAGAACGUCGUGAGACAGUUCGGUCCCUAUCUGCCGUGGGCGCUGGAGAAUUGAGGGGGGCUGCUCCUAGUACGAGAGGACCGGAGUGGACGCAUCACUGGUGUUCGGGUUGUCAUGCCAAUGGCACUGCCCGGUAGCUAAAUGCGGAAAAGAUAAGUGCUGAAAGCAUCUAAGCACGAAACUUGCCCCGAGAUGAGUUCUCCCUGAGACUUUAAGUCUCCUGAAGGAACGUUGAAGACGACGACGUUGAUAGGUCGGGUGUGUAAGCGCAGCGAUGCGUUGAGCUAACCGAUACUAAUGAACCGUGAGGCUUAACCUUACAACGCCGAAGCUGUU